rnacentral:rRNA from 1 species
UUAAACUAGAAUAGCUAAAAGAUUAGGAGCCCGAAGUAAGAUGAUCUAAUUAUGUUUUUAAGUAUAGUUUGAGUUUUGUAGUGUAGCAUAACCUACGAUUAAAAAUCUAAUUAGGAGUGAAAGGCUAGUCAAUUCUUACUGAUAUCUGGUUUAGACCAAAAUAUAUUUAGUAUAAAAGACAGCUAUGAGGUGCUAAGAUCUCGUAGUGAAUCAAUAUAUUUGUCAGAGUACAAGUCUUAGUUUAUUAAUAUAAUAUUAAAUUAAAUGUCUAACAAUUCACCUCUUUUUUUUUUGUUUUAAUAGGUUUACAGAAGGUUGGAAUAAAAAGAAACUUCUUAAUAAUGUUUAAAUUAGUAGUAGUAUUUAAGAAGUAAUAAGGAACUCGGCAAAUAUUUUGCUCGACUGUUUAUCAAAAACAUAGCUAAAAGCCCUAUUACAUUUUUAGUUUGCUCUGCCCAGUGAAUAUAGGUUUUAACGGCCGCAGUACACUGACUGUGCAAAGGUAGCAUAAUAAAUUGACUUUUAAAUGGGGUCCUGAAUGAAAGAGUUUACGGGUAGAAGCUGUCUUACUAUUUUAAGAUAGAAAUUAUUUAGGAGGUGCAAAUACCUUCAGUCAUAACUGAUAGACGAGAAGACCCUAUAAAUUUUAACAAAGUUAGAAUAAUUAAGAUAUUUUAAUAGUUUUUGUUGGGGCAACAAGUUAACAAAAGUUUCUAAAAUUUAUCUUAAAAGAUUUUUGUAUUUAACAGAUGGUAUCAAUAAAAAUUAAAUUACUUUAGGGAUAACAGCAUAAUUUUUAAGAAAGAUUGUGACCUCGAUGUUGGAUUAGGAGCCUAUAAACUUAGUAAGUUACAUAGGGUGUUCUGUUCGAACAGUUUUACCU